UAGAUGUUGGCCUUACGGCGGCCUGAAGCGCUGGUAACAGCCGGAUGGAGGCUUCAGGUGCAAAGAUUUUGCAGCGUUACACCGGGAAAGAAGAUGACGACAAUUAGUCCGCCAGCAAAUUUGAGACGAAUAUGCAGCUGAUCCUUUCUGAGCACAUUCUCCAUUUUUUGAAUUUUGUAACGCUCGAAAUUUGAACAUUGUCCUAUGUUUCGGAUCGGGCAGAAGAAUGUGCGACGUUUUUUGUGCAAAACUUUCGAUUCAACUGCAGCCGGUUCUUCUUGAGAUUUAACGCCGAUUCCGAAUGGCAGUUUGAGUGGGAUUUCCAUGGCAAAUAUAUUAUUCUCGAUGAAUUGCCAAGUCUAUCGGAGAGGAGAUACGAGCGUAUGGAAAUAUUUUGGUUUUACCGAGAGGCAAACCCAGGACCUCUAAGUAUAGCAGAUCAGUUUGCGCUGUUUGCUAUGCCAUGCUCUUGUCUAAAUAUAUUAGGUUAAGAAAUAUCAAGCAUAAUUGAAUGGUUCAGUCGAGAUAUAACUGAGAUGCUUUCCGCGCGACACCGUUAGAUGACGCCAGACAGGCCGCGAAACGCUGUGCUAAAGUUUGAAAAAGAAGCCAUAACGGAUCAUUUUAUAAGUAACAACUAGGGAUAGGCAAUGUUGACAAAAAUAAUUGGUUUUCCAAAAAUCGAUUAUAAAAUGUGUCACUUUCUCAUAAUCGAUAAAAUUUUGGAAACAUCGGUAAUAAUCAUGCGUAAGCAUUAAACUGUGUAAGGUUGUAACCUCCCUGCAAGUCCCUUAGUGCAAUGUCCGGUGCUAUAAGAGUAGAGAAGAUCUUGAGAAGCUCUUUUUUAUAUACAAUGCCCGAUCUAUGCUUUCCUAUGCGUUCAUUAGCUGAGACAAAAUAAUUAAUUCCUUACUAACUAUUGCGAAUUCUGCAAAAUGGUGCGUAACUUUUCUAUUCAGUUUCACUCGUUCCACCUGUACAUCUCGGAGAUCGAGAUUAGUUUGGGACACCUUGUAUAAAUAAAGUCGAAAUAAUUAAAACAUGAAAGAUGUUAUCUUUUCUUGUUUCACCACCUGUACAUCUCGGAGAUCGAGAUUAGUUUGGGACACCUUGUAUAAAUAAAG